UGGGGAAUAGCUCCGUGGUAGAGCCCAUGCUUAGCAGACAUGAGGUCCUGGGUUCAAUCUCCAGUACCUCCA
rnacentral:tRNA from 1 species